rnacentral:rRNA from 1 species
GAUGAACGCUGGCGGCGUGCCUAAUACAUGCAAGUCGAGCGAACGGACGAGAAGCUUGCUUCUCUGAUGUUAGCGGCGGACGGGUGAGUAACACGUGGAUAACCUACCUAUAAGACUGGGAUAACUUCGGGAAACCGGAGCUAAUACCGGAUAAUAUUUUGAACCGCAUGGUUCAAAAGUGAAAGACGGUCUUGCUGUCACUUAUAGAUGGAUCCGCGCUGCAUUAGCUAGUUGGUAAGGUAACGGCUUACCAAGGCAACGAUGCAUAGCCGACCUGAGAGGGGGUGCGGCAACACGGGAAGUGGGACACGGUCCGGACUCUCGCGGGGGGCAGCAGGGGGGAUUUUCCCGCAAGGGGCGAAGGCCUGAGGGAGCAACGCGGGGGGGGUGAGGAAGGUCUUGGUAUGUAAAAACUCUUUUAUUGGGGAAAAAAAUAUUGGAAAGUACUUGUCCACACCUGCCGGUUCCAUAAUAAGAAGGCCAGGCCUAACUACGUC